AAUGCUCCAGUCACGCCCUCCCCCGCCCGCCCUCCCCUCCCCCCCGGACCUGGUUUACGACACUGGGUGGUUUUACUUUUACAUCACCUUCCUACACCUAGUGCUCGGCCGGAACCUUGUUGCCAGGGGAGACCGGCGCUUUACGGCAGCGAGUUUGAACGGCGGCGGGGGAAUAAGGCGCUGCCACAGAGCCUUCAUGCAGUUAAAGAACAGCUUAGAAGAGGAAGAAAUUUGGAAGGGCCCUUCCAUACUUCUUAUCCAAAAGGUGCCUCGUGUGUAUUCACAAUGAAUCGGAGAUGCCAAUUUGGGUACAAGUGUUAGAUUGCAAGCAGUUGUGGUGAUUCUUUUUGUUUGCCUUUGAAGUACCUGGAACCUCAGAUGAGAACGUCUGCUUCUGAGCUUCCUUUUCUACCACACGAUGCAGUAGCAAAAUAUUGUAUCAAAAUAUUAUUUUUCUUUCAGAUUUGUGACUGAUCCAAUUACAGUCGUAGUGCAGUUGCAUUACCCACUUUUAUUAGUAGCACAUUUUCCAUUCAUCUUUGUUUAUGAUGACGCAGCAGAAGCGUCCUUAUCCAUUAUAUUAUCUAAUUAAACACUAAUGUGUUGUGAAUAUUCUUCCAUAUGGUUCACGUUUAUUUCCUUCUGUAACAUACUCUGUUUGUGAUUCAGUUCUGCUCCCCACCCCUCGUGCAGUUUGCUGCCUCACAGGUUUGUUUGACUGCUCGUUCGGCUCUCGUGUGGAUUUAUCUUCUUUUUGCUAUCCGUACAGCUGGCUCACUCUGCUCAUUAAAUUGCAAGUUAAAAAACCAUUUCUUAAUUAUA
rnacentral:lncRNA from 1 species